GUUAGUUUGGGAAACAAAAACCCCAAACCCAUCUCUAUUUCUCUCACCCCAACUCCUUUCCUUCCCCGUGAAAACCCAAACCCGAGCCCUCUCUCUCUUUCUUUGAUCCCUUACACUGCUGCCCCGUCAGCCACCCCUUGCGGGUGUCCCGUUUUCCCCGGCGCUUGUCGUGCUGUCGUUUCCCCCUCGCGGCGGUGUUUCUGAUGUGCUUCUGUCCCCUGCUCGCGUCUUCUCUCUCCUCUUCGUGGUGUUGUUGUUGUGUGUGGUUAUUGCUCGAGGUCGCUGCUGGGGUUGUCGCGUUGGUGCCGCUCGCUCCUUAAUUUGUCCAUUCCCAUCGGCAUUCAAUCCACAUCGUUCUUCAGUUGAUUAGAGAAUUUACUCACCUCCCAUCAGUUUCAACGCAAUUGGGAAGCUGCAAAUUUAGACAAUUUGACAACGAAAUAGGGAAAUUUCAAUUGAAAUGCUGGCUGUUGAAUAUGAAAAUAAUGCAAUGAUCGUAAAGGUUGACACUGAUGACGAGUAUGAAUUUGCCCGUGACAUGCAGGAUGAUGAUGGAGAUAAUGGAUUAGACUUGCAGGUAGGCAUGAUGCUUCUGGAAUCAUGCAUGCAAGGCGACACAUGGAAUUAAAGACGAAGAAAGACACGAUCUUAAGAUUAAUUUAGGAUUGGGGAGAGUUAUAUGUAUUAUGACUGGUUUUUAGAUCAACUAUUUAUAUGUUGAAAGCAAUGAUAUGUUUUCAAUUGAUGAAUACUACUCAUUGGCUCUUUUUUUACAAUGACCGUUGAGUGAACUCAAUAUCUAUAAUAUUAUUCUAUUU